ACUUUUCCCUCAAAACUUUUACUCCUUCCCACUUUCCCCCCAAAACUUUUACUCCCCUCCCCUCUCAACCCCCCAAUCUAUCCAAAAUCCAUUUCCCACCAAAAUUUUACUCUCCCAUUUAUUUUUUCUCAAAAUUUUACUCCCCAAAACCUUCAAAACAUUUUAUUUUCCCCCAAAAUUUUUACUCCCUCCCACUUUUCCCCUAAACUUUUAUUCCCUUCCCAUCCCACCUCCCAUCUAUCCCAAACCCUCCCCCCUCAAAAUUUUUGUUUAAUAUUUUCCCUCCAAAAUUUUACUCACCUCUAUUUACUUUCCCUCAAACUUUUAUUCCCCAAAACUUUUUAUUUUUCCCCUAAACUUUUACUUCUCACCCUUUACUCCCAA
rnacentral:lncRNA from 1 species